rnacentral:rRNA from 1 species
CAGUAGCCGCGGUAAUGCGUAGGUGGCAAGCGUUGUCCGGAAUUAUUGGGCGUAAAGGGCUCGCAGGCGGUUUCUUAAGUCUGAUGUGAAAGCCCCCGGCUCAACCGGGGAGGGUCAUUGGAAACUGGGAAACUUGAGUGCAGAAGAGGAGAGUGGAAUUCCACGUGUAGCGGUGAAAUGCGUAGAGAUGUGGAGGAACACCAGUGGCGAAGGCGACUCUCUGGUCUGUAACUGACGCUGAGGAGCGAAAGCGUGGGGAGCGAACAGGAUUAGAUACCCGCGUAGUCCCUGUCUCUUAUAA